GACGAACGCUGGCGGCGUGCUUAACACAUGCAAGUCGAACGGACAGGCCCUGCUUUUGUGGGGUGCUCGAGUGGCGAACGCGUGAGUGACACGUGUGUAACCUGUCCUUGUCUUUGUGAUAUCUUCAGGAAACUGGGGCUAAUACCGGAUAGGAUCUCCUGCUGCACGGUGUGCGAUGGAAAGUUUCGGCGGUUGGGGAUCGACUCGCGGCUUAUCCGCUUGUUGGUGGGGUAGUUGCUUACCAAGGCUGUGACGGGUAGCCGGCCUGAGAGGGGGACCGGCCACAUUGGGACUGAGAGACGGAGCAGACUCCUACGGGAGGCAGCAGUGGGGAAUAUUGCACAAUGGGCGGAAGCCUGAUGCAGCAACGCCGCGUGCGGGAUGACGGCCUUCGGGGUGUAAACCGCUUUCGACUGUGACGAAGCGUGAGUGACGGUAAUGGGUAAAGAAGCACCGGCUAACUACGUG
rnacentral:rRNA from 1 species